rnacentral:rRNA from 1 species
UACGUAGGGGGCUAGCGUUGUCCGGAAUCAUUGGGCGUAAAGCGCGUGUAGGCGGUCCGGUAAGUCCGCUGUGAAAGUCGAGGGCUCAACCCUCGAAUGCCGGUGGAUACUGUCGGGCUAGAGUACGGAAGAGGCGGAGUGGAAUUCCUGGUGUAGCGGUGAAAUGCGCAGAUAUCAGGAGGAACACCGGUGGCGAAGGCGGAUCUCUGGGCCGAUACUGACGCUGAGGAGCGAAAGCGUGGGGAGCGAACAGG